CCUACGGGGUGCAGCAGUGGGGAAUAUUGGACAAUGGGCGAAAGCCUGAUCCAGCCAUGCCGCGUGUGUGAAGAUGGCCUUCGGGUUGUAAAGCACUUUCAGUGGGGAAGAAAGCCUUGGGGCUAAUACCCUCGAGGAAGGACAUCACCCACAGAAGAAGCACCGGCUAACUCCGUGCCAGCAGCCGCGGUAAUACGGAGGGUGCGAGCGUUAAUCGGAAUUACUGGGCGUAAAGCGCGCGUAGGCGGUCUGAUAAGCCGGUUGUGAAAGCCCCGGGCUCAACCUGGGAACGGCAUCCGGAACUGUCAGGCUAGAGUGCAGGAGAGGAAGGUAGAAUUCCCGGUGUAGCGGUGAAAUGCGUAGAGAUCGGGAGGAAUACCAGUGGCGAAGGCGGCCUUCUGGACUGACACUGACGCUGAGGUGCGAAAGCGUGGGUAGCAAACAGGAUUAGAUACCCCAGUAGUC
rnacentral:rRNA from 1 species